AUUCACUAAUAAUUCUGAAUUACUCAAUUAUUCACUAUCACUCGAAUUACUCAUUACCUCUCAAUUCUCCUACACACUGACGUCACUCAGCUUAUGCUUCCAUACUACCCGUGCCCAAUAGCCUUACCCAUCUCUCUGCCCUUCUCUCUCUCUCCUGGAUGCUCCAAAACUUUCUCUGCUCUACUGGCACUGAUCACUUACCAAAUCAUUUUACAUUCAAGUCACUUAAUGCCACAAAGUCUGUCUAUUUCUAUAGAUCAUGAUUUUCCUAAAAUUUCCUCCUCCUUUUGGACCAAACUGAGGAAGAUUAAUAUUGGGAAAUGCUGGUAAAUUCA
rnacentral:lncRNA from 1 species